rnacentral:rRNA from 1 species
UGAGCAAUCUGCCUAGAUGUGGGGGAUAGCCGGCCCAACGGCCGGGUAAUACCGCAUACGCUCUUCUGGUGGCAUCACCGGGUGAGGAAACUUUCGAGGCGUCUAGAGGAGCUCGCGGCCUAUCAGCUAGUUGGUGAGGUAACGGCUCACCAAGGCGACGACGGGUAGCUGGUCUGAGAGGAUGGCCAGCCACAUUGGGACUGAGACACGGCCCAGACCUCUACGGGAGG